UACGUAGGGUGCAAGCGUUAAUCGGAAUUACUGGGCGUAAAGCGUGCGCAGGCGGUGAUGUAAGACAGUUGUGAAAUCCCCGGGCUCAACCUGGGAACUGCAUCUGUGACUGCAUCGCUGGAGUGCGGCAGAGGGGGAUGGAAUCCCGCGUGUAGCAGUGAAAUGCGUAGAUAUGCGGAGGAACACCGAUGGCGAAGGCAAUCCCCUGGGCCUGCACUGACGCUCAUGCACGAAAGCGUGGGGAGCAAACAGG
rnacentral:rRNA from 1 species